UACGAAGGGGGCUAGCGUUGCUCGGAAUCACUGGGCGUAAAGCGCACGUAGGCGGAUUGUUAAGUCAGGGGCGAAAUCCUGGAGCUCAACUCCAGAACUGCCUUUGAUACUGGCGAUCUCGAGUCCGGGAGAGGUGAGUGGAACUGCGAGUGUAGAGGUGAAAUUCGUAGAUAUUCGGAAGAACACCAGUGGCGAAGGCGGCUCACUGGCCCGGUACUGACGCUGAGGUGCGAAAGCGUGGGGAGCAAACAGG
rnacentral:rRNA from 1 species